AGGGUUUUGGCUUAAAGUCUGACUGUAUGAGGGCAUGUCAAGAAGAGCUGGACUGAGUGCCCAUGACCUCAGGGACAUCUUGGAAGCUAUAUGUAGAAGAUGGAAAAGCCUCUGUCAUCUCCAUCAAUUUAAUCUCCAAAUAACUACUUAGAAAAGGGACAGCUUACUAACUCCUUCAUUGCCCAGUACUAUUAGCUAAAAACAUUAUAACAGGAGAUUCAAAUUCUACAUGGUGGGAGCAAAAGUGGAUCUUGUUUUUCUAUAGCAACAUGGUUGACCUUCAUAGUGAAGUUUGAAUCUGACAGCAUUCAUGCUCAAAUGUCCAAGCCCUGCAUUUCUGAUACCAUGGAAUCACAAGCACGCUGUGUGAUACUGUGCAGCAUUUGAUCCUGCCUGACUUCUGUGUCUCAGCCUAUCAACGAAGAUAUUUAUAGCUGCCUUAUGCCAACGUACUUUUUAAAGCUGGGUAAUACCAGUGUAAGAUGGUCACAUUUAUCUUGAAAGCCGAGGUAGGGUACCAUGUGUGCUCC
rnacentral:lncRNA from 1 species